UAUUAGGUUGGUGCAAAAGUAAUUGCAGUUUUUGCGAUUAAAAGUAAUGGUAAAAACCAUAAUUAUGUUUGCACCAACCUAAUA
rnacentral:miRNA from 1 species